UUAACUUUUAAAAUACUUCUUUAUAAAACAUUUUUGCAUCUUUUUUGAAGCUUCAAAACUCUAGCAGUUGCAUGGAAAAGGGCUGUAUUUGAUGACUAAUUUUUCCUUUUGUGUUCCACGGAAAAAAGUUUUGGUUGGAAUGACAUGAGAAUGAAAAAUUAAUGGCAGAAUUUUCAGUUUUGGGUGAACCGUUACUUUUUCUAAAUAAUUCAGCCCAACUUGGCAAAAGGUUUUGAUGUAAACAGUAGUUGUUUUAGUAGAAAAUCUCUCGAUUUUAUUCUAAAGAGCACGAGAAACACUCAAGAGUACAGAAGCAGCACAGAAGCAUCACUGAUAUCAGGUGUUCAUGAACAUCUCUUUGCCUGCUCCUGUCCUUCUCCUUAACACAACUUUUUGAAGCAGAUGACAAGCUCUCAGUGUACUUUUUUGUCGGUAUCUCUCUCUUCAACAGACGAGAACUUUACUCUCAAACAUGAUAGAGCCUUCCUCUUGUCGAUGGCCAACCGUGGCAAAGACACGAAUGGGUCCCAGUUCUUCAUGUAAGUACUAUUUACACUGGUAUAAGACACAGAGAGGGUGUAUGAGUGCAUAGAAAUAACCAUUCAUUCUGCUUACCAUUUAAUCUGACUGACUGGUCAUUAUUAAAUGACACGUGCAAUACGUAUAGAUUAUGUAUUCCCCCAGUGUUCAGAUCAUUUCUACAGAACUAUUUUGCUUCAGUCAUAGCCUUUAUAAUGAUGUGCAUUUGAAAACCUGUAUCUGUUUUAAGAGAUUGGCCAAAAGCACAAAGAGCAUCUAGGCUUUUAAAUUUGAUCCAAGUGUUAUACUUGCUUAUAUACUGACUCAUACUUAUGUCAAUCCCAAUUCGUUGACACAUCAAUAACAUUUUUAAAGACCACUAGUGAUUUUCAGUAGAAAAGCAAGAUGGUAAAGAAGGAACAUUUUAUGUUCUGUCUACUUUUUUUUUUAAUUGAUUUAGUAAUACAAUCAUCUUAGUUUACUCCUUUGCCGUUCACACUCUCUCUAACCUUCCCAGACUUCCUCAAUCUCUUUACCACAUAUAUAUUUAUUUUGGAAACUCUACAUAGUCUACAUGUUCGUGUGGGAUGCAGGUGCAUUUUCAUUCUCCUUUUCCCUUGUCAAUGUGCAUUUAGAAAUAUUUUAUAAUCAGAAAGAAUUCAUUUUUGCCUACAAAUGUAUUACAAUUUUUCUCUUGCCGUUUUUGUGUAAAAUUUGCAGAAACUCUAGCAUCCUGCUCUACCAAGGUAAAGUGUCUCUCCAAGGCUGUGCUUCUCUCUCCUGACUGUGUAUUUCUGGUUGCUUUUAGCUAGCACUGGCUUCUUAUUUAUCUUUAAAUAAUUUUCACCUCAUAAAAAAAUCUGUUCUCCCAGCACAGAGAACCUUGAAGUCUUUCAAUUAUUGACGUAUUUCAAGUUUAAAAUUACAGGAUGUAUUUUCUUGCAAUGGACACACUGAUUUCUAAUGUCCCUAUAAUAUUUUUAAAUGGGUUUAAUUGGUUUUGUCAGCAUAAUGCUGACAGAUGUUGGACCUGUUCCUGUUCAUCAUUAGAAUUUAUUCAUCCAGCCAGUGUUAUUGUGCAAGCACUGCUGGUUUUAAAUUCCUCAGUGUUUGAAUUGAUGCAUACAAAUUUCUUCUUGAUGACAGACUGAAUGCUUUUUUUAGACUAAAUUUAUUUCCCUUUAUCUUUAUCCCCCCACAUGUCCCUGUUGGAUGACCUGGACUCCAUUAUGUCAUUUACCUGACAAUAGAACUACUAAGACAGCGCCUCAUCUAGAUGGGAUUUUUGAUCUAAUUUAGAGUGCAUGUGGUCUUUGGGCUGGUCAUCUCUGGCUUUGAGGUCAUAAAGAAAAUCGAAGGGCUGAAGACCGACUCAGCCAGCAGACCCUAUGCUGACGUCAGAGUGAUUGACUGCGGACAGCUGAUUACAAAGUCUGCUAACGAUGGUAAGCUUGUUCCUGAGUGCGAGAGAUAAACUAGGAAUUUUGGCUGCACACUUUCCGCCUGUCACUAUGCUGUUUGUCUUUACCUAAUGGAAAAUAUUUUUUAAUCUACAUUGUGGAGUGAAAUAUGGUUUAAAAAUGGAACUGUGAAAGAUCAUAAAACAAAAUGACGGGUGCUUUGAAACACUGCAGACACCAAAUUUAAUACACACACUUACACGGUGUCCUAACCAGGCAUGAUGCUACGAAGCAUCAAGUAACAAUCGAGAGUUUUUUCCCUAACCACCCACAGCAAGUGAUGUGCAACAAGACAUUUUGCCUGUCACUUGAUUUGUAUUUUUA